rnacentral:rRNA from 1 species
UAGGGAAUCUUCCACAAUGGACGCAAGUCUGAUGGAGCAACGCCGCGUGAGUGAAGAAGGUUUUCGGAUCGUAAAGCUCUGUUGUUGGUGAAGAAGGAUAGAGGUAGUAACUGGCCUUUAUUUGACGGUAAUCAACCAGAAAGUCACGGCUAACUACGUGCCAGCAGCCGCGGUAAUACGUAGGUGGCAAGCGUUGUCCGGAUUUAUUGGGCGUAAAGCGAGCGCAGGCGGAAGAAUAAGUCUGAUGUGAAAGCCCUCGGCUUAACCGAGGAACUGCAUCGGAAUCUGUUUUUCUUGAGUGCAGAAGAGGAGAGUGGAAUUCCAUGUGUAGCGGUGGAAUGCGUAGAUAUAUGGAAGAACACCAGUGGCGAAGGCGACUCUCUGGUCUGCAACUGACGCUGAGGCUCGAAAGCAUGGGUAGCGAACAGG